rnacentral:rRNA from 1 species
AUUCCAGCUCCAAUAGCGUAUAUUAAAGUUGUUGCAGUUAAAAAGCUCGUAGUUGGAUUUCUGGUUAAAAUCUUAGCUGGCUUUGGUCGUUAAUGUUUUAAUCAUCCGUUAGAGAACUAUAACCGUCCUUAACUGGUCAUUAUGGAGAUCUAACAUUUUACUUUGAAAAAAUUAGAGUGUUCAAGGCAGGCAAUCGUCAUGAAUACUAUAGCAUGGAAUAAUGGAAUAGGACUUUGGUUCAUUUUAUUGGUUAUUGAACCUUAGUAAUGAUUAACAGGGACAGUUGGGGGCAUUAGUAUUUAAUUGUCAGAGGUGAAAUUCUUGGAUUUAUGAAAGACGAACUUCUGCGAAAGCAUUUGCCAAGGAUGUUUUCAUCG